GACGGGGCCCGCACAAGCGGUGGAUGAUGUGGAUUAAUUCGAUGCAACGCGAAGAACCUUACUACCCUUGACAUGUCCGGAACUUGCCAGAGAUGGCUUGGUGCCCGAAAGGGAAUCGGAACACAGGUGCUGCAUGGCUGUCGUCAGCUCGUGUCGUGAGAUGUUGGGUUAAGUCCCGCAACGAGCGCAACCCUUAUCAUUAGUUGCUACGCAAGGGCACUCUAAUGAGACUGCCGGUGACAAACCGGAGGAAGUGGGGAUGACGUCAAGUCCUCAUGGCCCUUAUGGGUAGGGCUUCACACGUCAUACAAUGGUCGGUACAGAGGGUUGCCAAGCCGCGAGGCGGAGCCAAUCCCACAAAGCCGAUCGUAGUCCGGAUUGUUCUCUGCAACUCGAGAGCAUGAAGUCGGAAUCGCUAGUAAUCGCAGGUCAGCAUACUGCGGUGAAUACGUUCCCGGGUCUU
rnacentral:rRNA from 1 species